rnacentral:rRNA from 1 species
GGAAUAUUGGGCAAUGGGCGCAAGCCUGACCCAGCGACGCCGCGUGAGGGAUGAAGGCCUUCGGGUUGUAAACCUCUUUCAGUAGGGAAGAAGCGAAAGUGACGGUACCUAAAGAAGAAGCACCGGCUAACUAUGUGCCAGCAGCCGCGGUAAUACAUAGGGUGCAAGCGUUGUCCGGAAUUAUUGGGCGUAAAGAGCUCGUAGGUCGUUUGACACGUCGAUUGUGAAAAUCUAAGGCUCAACCUCAGACCUGCAGUCGAUACGGUCAAGCUAGAGUGUGGUAGGGGAGACUGGAAUUCCUGGUGUAGCGGUGGAAUGCGCAGAUAUCAGGAGGAACACCAAUGGCGAAGGCAGGUCUCUGGGCCAUAACUGACACUGAGGAGCGAAAGCGCGGGGAGCGAACAGGAUUAGAUACCCUGGUAGUCCGCGCCGUAAACGGUGGGCACUAGCUGUGGGUCCCUUCCACGGGAUCCGCGACGCAGCAAACGCAUUAAGUGCCCCGCCUGGGGAGUACGAUCGCAAGAUUAAAACUCAAAUGAAUUGACGG